rnacentral:rRNA from 1 species
GGUGAGUAACACGUGGGCAACCUACCUAUAAGACUGGGAUAACUUCGGGAAACCGGAGCUAAUACCGGAUGACAUAAAGGAACUCCUGUUCCUUUAUUGAAAGAUGGCUUCGGCUAUCACUUACAGAUGGGCCCGCGGCGCAUUAGCUAGUUGGUGAGGUAACGGCUCACCAAGGCGACGAUGCGUAGCCGACCUGAGAGGGUGAUCGGCCACACUGGGACUGAGACACGGCCCAGACUCCUACGGGAGGCAGCAGUAGGGAAUCUUCCGCAAUGGACGAAAGUCUGACGGAGCAACGCCGCGUGAGCGAUGAAGGCCUUCGGGUCGUAAAGCUCUGUUGUUAGGGAAGAACAAGUGCUAGUUGAAUAAGCUGGCACCUUGACGGUACCUAACCAGAAAGCCACGGCUAACUACGUGCCAGCAGCCGCGGUAAUACGUAGGUGGCAAGCGUUGUCCGGAAUUAUUGGGCGUAAAGCGCGCGCAGGCGGUUUCUUAAGUCUGAUGUGAAAGCCCCCGGCUCAACCGGGGAGGGUCAUUGGAAACUGGGAAACUUGAGUGCAGAAGAGGAAAGUGGAAUUCCAAGUGUAGCGGUGAAAUGCGUAGAGAUUUGGAGGAACACCAGUGGCGAAGGCGACUUUCUGGUCUGUAACUGACGCUGAGGCGCGAAAGCGUGGGGAGCAAACAGGAUUAGAUACCCUGGUAGUCCACGCUGUAAACGAUGAGUGCUAAGUGUUAGAGGGUUUCCGCCCUUUAGUGCUGAAGUUAACGCAUUAAGCACUCCGCCUGGGGAGUACGGUCGCAAGACUGAAACUCAAAGGAAUUGACGGGGGCCCGCACAAGUGGUGGAGCAUGUGGUUUAAUUCGAAGCAACGCGAAGAACCUUACCAGGUCUUGACAUCCUCUGACAACCCUAGAGAUAGGGCUUUCCCUUCGGGGACAGAGUGACAGGUGGUGCAUGGUUGUCGUCAGCUCGUGUCGUGAGAUGUUGGGUUAAGUCCCGCAACGAGCGCAACCCUUGAUCUUAGUUGCCAGCAUUUAGUUGGGCACUCUAAGGUGACUGCCGGUGACAAACCGGAGGAAGGUGGGGAUGACGUCAAAUCAUCAUGCCCCUUAUGACCUGGGCUACACACGUGCUACAAUGGAUAGUACAAAGGGUUGCAAGACCGCGAGGUGGAGCUAAUCCCAUAAAACUAUUCUCAGUUCGGAUUGUAGGCUGCAACU